rnacentral:lncRNA from 1 species
UUUUAAUCAGAGAGCUGCCACCUCCCUUUUGUGUCAGAUUGUGUUGUAAAAUUGUGGUUCGUGUUGAGAGGAGGUGGCAGCUUUUUUUUUCUUUAAAAGGACAGCCAGGACCACAUUAAAAAGGCAGUGAUUUUGGAUACACAACAAUAGGUUACAAUACGUACCAACAUCCCACAAUUCUCCCCUUAAAACCCCCCAAAAACAAUAUAGAAGUUAAUCCAUAAAAUCCCAAAAGAACAAUAAAUACUACAAAAAAACUAAAAGAAAAAUUACAAAUCUCUUACGUCGUCACCCACGAAGAAGCCUUGACGUCCAAGAAAUUAGGAAACAAGGACGCCGCCACCUGAAACACGAUAAAAAGAAGCUUUUUAUUAAAAGUAUAUCAUUCAAAAACAUAUUUAUUUUUCGAUCAUUCACACAUCACUUAUACUUUCGAUCAUUCACACAUCACUUAUACUUUCGAAUCACAUGCUAAUUUGCUUGUUAUGCUAUGUCGUUUAAGCCAUUUCUAACUUAGUGUUCAUUUCAACUAAGUGGAUAAGCAAUUCAUCUCGACGACCAAUGAACUAAUAAGAGACAUAAGCUUCUAAGGUCUAACGGAAGUUGCCUAAAAAGAAGCUUUUUAUUAAAAGUAUAUCAUUCAAAAACAUAUUUAUUUUUCGAUCAUUCACACAUCACUUAUACUUUCGAUCAUUCACACAUCACUUAUACUUUCGAAUCACAUGCUAAUUUGCUUGUUAUGCUAUGUCGUUUAAGCCAUUUCUAACUUAGUGUUUAUUUUAACUAAGUGGAUAAGCAAUUCAUUUCAAAGAACAAUGAAUCAAUAAGUGAAAUAAGCUUCUAAAGUCUAAUGAAAUUGCUGAAAAAUAUAUUAACAAGAGAUUAGAAGACCAUCUAUCAUCAUUUUUCACAACAUUUGCUGUAAGAACUUAAGAACGACAAGGCUACUUGCAAUAUGUUGCCAACAUCGAGCUAAAAUACAAAUUUUCGGCCAAAUAAUGUUACUGAAAUUUUAUUAAAAGUAGUAAACUAGUCAAGUUUUCAAACAAAAAAUUAUUUCAUAAACAUUUAGAUUAAUACUCCAGUUUCAGUAACAAAAUAAAUUAUGUUUUCACCUAGGACAGACUCAUCAACAACAGAACCAUCACUUUUACCUAAAAAAAUUAGAACAAGUUAGAGAUUAGUUGUUUUACCUUUCAGAGGCGGUCUUUUUCCUUUCCUCUCGAUUUUCUAGAGCAAAUCGAUUCUACCCAUUUUAGUACACCUGAAAAAAUCAAAAAUCGUUAUUUAAUUUUAUUAAGCAACUAAACAGAGAUUAAUAUAAAAAUGCAACAUAGAGUUUUUUAACCUAACAUUCUUUCUCUAUGCCUGUCUCUUCACUGUUGUCGCCGGCCGUAUCGUCGACGACGAGGUCUUCUUCUUCCUCUCUGUCGACUGCCACCCCAAAUAAAAAUAAAUAAUAAAAUAACAAAUUCAGAAAAGCUAUUUAAAUAAAGUAUUCGAAUCCUAGACCUGUAAAUCGGGACUUGCAUGUAGUUGGAGGACUCGUCGGAGACAUCCUCGAAGAUGAAAGAAGAAGGAAGAAGAGGAAGAGAGAAAAGGGAGCGCAGCGGCAGCGGUGUUGCUGCCGCUGCCACCGUCGGCGGAACCGAGGGGGGAGCAGAGGGAAGCAGAAGGAGAGAAGAAGAGAAAAAGAAGAAAUAGAAGAAAAAGCAAAAAAGGAGGAGAAUGGGAGAGAGGCGUGUUGGUGGAACAGAGGCGGAGCAGAGGAGGAGAAGAGAAGGAGGGGAGGAGAGAGUGUAGAGAGAGGUCAGAGAGUUUGAGAGAGAAGAGAAAAAGAGAGAGAGUGAGAAGUU